rnacentral:rRNA from 1 species
CCUACGGGUGGCUGCAGUGGGGAAUAUUGGGCAAUGGACGCAACUCUGACCCAGCAACGCCGCGUGAAUGAUGAAGGUCUUCGGGUUGUAAAGUUCUUUUCUAAGGGAAGAAGAGAGUGACGGUACCUUAGGAUUAAGCCUCGGCUAACUACGUGCCAGCAGCCGCGGUAAUACGUAGGAGGCGAGCGUUAUCCGGAUUGACUGGGCGUAAAGGUGGCGUAGGUGGGUUGGCAAGUUAGUAGCGUAACUCCAAGGCUCAACCUUGGAACUACUACUAAAACUGUUGGACUUGAGUUCAGGAGAGGUAACCGGAAUUCCUAGUGUAGCGGUGGAAUGCGUAGAUAUUAGGAGGAACACCAGUGGCGAAGGCGGGUUGCUAGACUGUAACUGACACUGAGGCACGAAAGCGUGGGGAGCAAACAGGAUUAGAUACCCGAGUAGUC